AAGAUUUUAAGUUAAUUAAACUAGUAGCCUUCAAAGUUAUUAAUAAGAGUUAAAUCUUUUAAAUCUUA
rnacentral:tRNA from 1 species